AUUAACGCUGGCGGCGUGCAUGAGACAUGCAAGUCGAACGGACGGGCGAGCUUGCUCGCCCGUUAGUGGCGGACGGCUGAGUAACGCGUGGGUGACCUGCCCCGAAGUGGGGAAUAACUGCCCGAAAGGGUGGCUAAUACCGCAUGUGGUGACUGGUUCGUUCCAGUCUCCAAAGCCGCAAGGCGCUUCGGGAGGGGCCUGCGUCCGAUUAGCUCGUUGGUGGGGUAACGGCUCAC
rnacentral:rRNA from 1 species